rnacentral:rRNA from 1 species
GAUGAACGCUGGCGGCGUGCCUAAUACAUGCAAGUCGAGCGAACAGAUAAGGAGCUUGCUCCUUUGACGUUAGCGGCGGACGGGGGAGUAACACGUGGAUAACCUACCUAUAAGACUGGGAUAACUUCGGGAAACCGGAGCUAAUACCGGAUAACAUAUAGAACCGCAUGGUUCAAUAGUGAAAGGCGGCUUUGCUGGCACGUAUAGAUGGAUCCGCGCCGUAGUAGCUAGUUGGUAAGGUAACGGCUUACCAAGGCAACGAUACGUAGCCGACCUGAGAGGGUGAUCGGCCACACUGGAACUGAGACACGGUCCAGACUCCUACGGGAGGCAGCAGUAGGGAAUCUUCCGCAAUGGGCGAAAGCCUGACGGAGCAACGCCGCGUGAGUGAUGAAGGUCUUCGGAUCGUAAAACUCUGUUAUCAGGGAAGAACAAAUGUGUAAGUAACUGUGCACAUCUUGACGGUACCUGAUCAGAAAGCCACGGCUAACUACGUG